AAAAAUUUAGUUAAAAAAUAACAUUAGUCUGUCAAGCUAAAAUUAUACCCCGUAUAAUUUUUA
rnacentral:tRNA from 1 species